rnacentral:misc_RNA from 1 species
AAAGUCGUAACAAGGUUUCCGUAGGUGAACCUGCGGAAGGAUCAUUACAACGUAUCCACGUAUAAACCUUUGUGAACAUGUUUAACCGCAUUAUUGUAGUAUCGCAAAGCAGUUCGCAAUUCGGAAAUAAAGUGAACUGCCCGUUUCUCUCUCGCAGAGAAGGGAUGCUAUGGCAAUGUUUUUCCGUUACACUAUUAACCACUGUAACUUUCUAUGUACUUACGAAUUAAGGCGAAAGCUUUUCUUCGAAAAUAUAAGAAAUUAUAGCACAACUCUUAGCAACGGAUAUCUAGGCUCUC